GAUGGGUUAACUGGGUGGGGUUGGCACAGGGAAGGUACACACACAUUCAUUAGGUGUAGCUGACCGAUCUCGGUUUUGCCUUUUCUGCCGAUGUAGUUGUAGCCAUGGGUGGGGAUG
rnacentral:rRNA from 1 species